AUGGCCGACCAACCACCAGCAGAGAUAAACCUCCAUAUGAUGACUGAGGCGGGAGAAGCAACAAGUUCAGGCGACAGUCAGCUGCAGAGGAUGCUGAAAAAUGCGGCACAAGCAAACGAACACGCUUCUGCAGCAUGUGCCGAGCACCAGGACACAAGAGCACAACUUGUCCACAAAGAGGAGAUCUUCCACCAAAAGAAAGAAAAGAGGCGAAAUGCUCAAAUUGUGGCGUCGGUGGGCACAGGAGAAACACCUGCAGCAACCCAAAACUUGUCCUGCAUGUUGUCGAGAAGACUACUUUGGGAACAAUCGGAAAUUGUUAAUGUCUCCACAGUUAGUACUAAAUCAAAUUUCUGUACUAGUAUGCAGCAUCCGUUUGUGAGUGUUGCCUGUGACAUGUUGUUAUGUUUCCAUCAGCACCUCGACUAUCUCAUAAGUUUGUUAAACGUUUUGUGUAAUUGA
rnacentral:rRNA from 1 species